rnacentral:rRNA from 1 species
UACGGAGGGUGCAAGCGUUAUCCGGAUUCACUGGGUUUAAAGGGUGCGUAGGAGGGCAGGUAAGUCAGUGGUGAAAUCCUAGAGCUUAACUCUAGAACUGCCGUUGAUACUAUCUGUCUUGAAUAUUGUGGAGGUGAGCGGAAUAUGUCAUGUAGCGGUGAAAUGCUUAGAUAUGACAUAGAACACCAAUUGCGAAGGCAGCUCGCUACACAUAUAUUGACUCUGAGGAGCGAAAGCGUGGGGAGCGAACAGG